UCCCUGGUGGUCCAGUGGCUAAGAUUACACGCUCACAAUGCAGGGAGCCCAGGUUCAAUCCCUGGUCAGGGAA
rnacentral:tRNA from 1 species